rnacentral:rRNA from 1 species
GCUCAUUAAAUCAGUUAUCGUUUAUUUGAUAGUACCUUACUACUUGGAUAACUGGGGUAAUUCUAGAGCUAAUACAUGCUUAAAAUCCCGACUGUUUGGAAGGGAUGUAUUUAUUAGAUAAAAAAUCAAUGUCUUCGGACUCUUUGAUGAUUCAUAAUAACUUUUCGAAUCGCAUGGCCUUGUGCUGGCGAUGGUUCAUUCAAAUUUCUGCCCUAUCAACUUUCGAUGGUAGGAUAGUGGCCUACCAUGGUUUCAACGGGUAACGGGGAAUAAGGGUUCGAUUCCGGAGAGGGAGCCUGAGAAACGGCUACCACAUCCAAGGAAGGCAGCAGGCGCGCAAAUUACCCAAUCCCGACACGGGGAGGUAGUGACAAUAAAUAACGAUACAGGGCCCUUUCGGGUCUUGUAAUUGGAAUGAGUACAAUGUAAAUACCUUAACGAGGAACAAUUGGAGGGCAAGUCUGGUGCCAGCAGCCGCGGUAAUUCCAGCUCCAAAAGCGUAUAUUAAAGUUGUUGCAGUUAAAAAGCUCGUAGUUGAACCUUGGGCUUGGUUGGCCGGUCCAUCUUUCUGAUGCGUACUGGACCCAACCGAGCCUUUCCUUCUGGCUAGCCUUUUGGCGAACCAGGACUUUUACUUUGAAAAAAUUAGAGUGUUCAAAGCAGGCCUUUGCUCGAAUAUAUUAGCAUGGAAUAAUAGAAUAGGACGUUAUGGUUCUAUUUUGUUGGUUUCUAGGACCAUCGUAAUGAUUAAUAGGGACGGUCGGGGGUAUCAGUAUUCAGUUGUCAGAGGUGAAAUUCUUGGAUUUACUGAAGACUAACUACUGCGAAAGCAUUUACCAAGGACGUUUUCAUUAAUCAAGAACGAAAGUUAGGGGAUCGAAGAUGAUUAGAUACCGUCGUAGUC